GAUAUAUUUUUGUUCCUUGUUUGAAAGUGAUGGCUAUUUAUUAGGAAUUAAAAGCUGAGAUGACAAAUCUAUGCCAACAUGCUCUGCCUUUAUGUGGAUAUUGGGGAUCUGAACCUACAUACAACCACAUGCUUCCAAAGCCACAACUCUCCAGCCUUUGCUACUCUCCAAUAAUGCUGCUUGUUCCACAUAUAAAGCAUCCUUUGUGGAUCUCGGGAAUAACUGUCCACCCACAGGUUAUACACAGAGGUAGCAGAGUGGCUUUCUCCCGACACGGUGCAUUUGGCGAGAGGGACCUGUGUUCUCCUGGACUCACACUGGGGCAUUUAACUCCAGGUGAGGUAAAAAAGAGCAUCUCUUAUAGCUGGAGUGGAAAUGGAACUUCUUCCUGUUGGGUGGGUCUGCUGCUGUAGCACACUGGCCAGAAGGGAAGGCAGAGUCUAGAGGAAACCAGAGGGGCUGUACCCUUCUCCACUAAACCUUUGUCCAGCCUCAUGACAUCUGUUUCUUUAUCUAUUGUGCCUGUGUUUUCAGAGACAACAUCCCCAUCCAGGGUCUUAUCAAUGAUGAGUGAUGUAACAGGACAAUGUAGCUACCAGGAAAGGUGAGCUAUUGGAAACAGAGCAGGGAAAGGUCUUGAGUAGAUCCUCUGGGACCAAACUCUAAUUUUCCUGAGUUGCUCCUGUUACGAACGGCAACUGCAGGGUGACAUCAUGAGGACAAUAUGCCCUGGACAUGUUGAUAUGCAGUCCCUGCUCCUUUUUAUUCUAUUUUU
rnacentral:sRNA from 1 species